GGACCAUUUCUUCCACAAGAUUCAGUGCCUCUUCUGUCCUCCCUUCCUUGCAUAAAGCAUCCAGAACAGCAUUAUGUAACAAUAUCAGGCAAGACUCCAUAAUCAAUCAUGUUUUUAAAUAACCUCACACCUUCGUCCCAGUUACCAGACUUGCAUGAAGCAGAAAUCAUGGAAUUAAAAGUGAAAACAUCAGGCUUUAUACCUUUCUCAGUCAUUGUUCCAAACAGAGUGACAACAUUAGGCUUGACUCCUUGAUCUACCAUUCCUUCAAAAAGAGAGAGCACUUCUUCCCAGCGACUUGUGUUGCAUAACCCAUGAAUCAAUGUGGUAUAAUUGAAAAUAUUUGGUACAACACUCUUGCUGAUCAUAUCGAAAUAGGGUCAAGGCCUCGUCUAUUCGUCUUUCUUUACAGAGGCUAUCGAUGAUUGGAUUAUAGCAUUCUUGGUUGGGGUUGAACCUUC
rnacentral:sRNA from 1 species